AUGGUGAUUGAACCACCCUCUGCAGUGAUGCUACGACCGCCGAAUCUUGCAAAUCUUGCAGUUCAUGACCUUCGUCUUGAAGCAAAAUUCGUCCUCCAGGCCGGACGAUGCAGUCGUGGUGAUGCUGAACUAGGUUCGACUAGGCCGGAUGGAUAGGGACUCCUCCUUGUCCCUGGACAAUUGUCGCAACUUGGCAGAGAUGAAGAGCGAGAGGAUGGAGAUUGCGCUAGGGUUUACGAGUUCCUUCACGGGAUUGGGAUUGUUCUCAAAGGGCUAGAGCUUCCAGUCACGAUCGAGGUCAAGCGAAUUGAUUUUCUUCACAGAUUGGGGCUAAUGAUCGAGGACAUCAAUAACUUUCCUCUCGUCUUGGGUUGCAGCGUGAAGAAGAACAUGAUGUGCUCAAUUUGCUUCUAUGCCCUAAUUUAGCCCCAAUUUGUCAAUUUGGGGAAAAAAUGGCAAACGAGCUCAGAACGACUCUCUCUUAUUCGACUUUGUCCCUCGUUCACUCUCUCUCUCCCCACUCUAUCUCCUUCCUCUGAGAUGUAUGUCGACGCCUUGACUGCCUCACACUAUCGACGAUACAGUUGAAGAGGGCUGAUAUUGGGGAGAUGCAGAGAUAGAUAAGAUAGACGUCCAUAGGGAGUUUCACUCGAGGUGUGAUCCAAUGGCUAGCGCUAACGCAAUUGCUAGGUCCGCCGCAAAGGCGAUUAUCUCGAUCGUGAUGGACUCCCAACCGCAACCUUGGAACGGCCAGAGCGCGAUUCCCCCGCCGGAGCUUGAGUUCGUCGACUACAACGGCCUUGUGAAGGGGUGCACGCUCAAGUACAUCAGCCACGUGCGGGAGCAGUCCAUGGCUUUCUUCCCUCAAAUCUGUUCCUUUGUGUUAUUCUCAAUUUCAUAUUCAAGUCUCACUAAUCAAAAACGAUGUAAAUGAAUCUGAGGUUCCUACUGUGAUUUGAACAUAUGAUGAACACUUCAG